UACGUAGGUGGCAAGCGUUGUCCGGAUUUACUGGGCGUAAAGAGCGCGCAGGCGGUCGUUCAAGUCGAGUGUGAAAGCCCCCGGCUCAACUGGGGAGGGUCACUCGAUACUGAUCGACUCGAAGGCAGAAGAGGGAAGCGGAAUUCCCGGUGUAGUGGUGAAAUGCGUAGAGAUGUGGAGGAACACCAGUGGCGAAGGCGACUCUUUGGUCUGUAACUGACGCUGAGGCGCGAAAGCGUGGGGAGCAAACAGG
rnacentral:rRNA from 1 species